rnacentral:rRNA from 1 species
CCUACGGGCGGCAGCAGUGAGGAAUAUUGGUCAAUGGACGUAAGCCUGAAGCAGCAAAGUCGCGUGAGUGAUGAAGGUUCUAUGAAUCGUAAACCUCUUUUAUAAGGGAAUAAAGUGUGUGAAGUGUCCUAUUUCGUAUGUACCUUAUGAAUAAGGAUCGGCUAACUCCGUGCCAGCAGCCGAGGUAAUACGGAGGAUACGAGCGUUAUCCGGAUUUAUUGGGUUUAACGGGAGCGUAGGUGGUUUGUUAAGUCAGUUGUGAAAGUUUGCGGCUCAACCGUAAAAUUGCAGUUGAAACUGGCAGUCUUGAGUACAGUAGAGGUGGGCGGAAUUCGAGGUGUAGCGGUGAAAUGCUUAGAUAUCACGAAGAACACCGAUUGCGAAGGCAGCUCACUGGACUGCAACUGACACUGAUGCUCGAAAGUGUGGGUAGCAAACAGGAUUAGAUACCCUAGUAGUC